GUCCAUGCCCUAAACGUUGAUUACUCGUUGUUGGCGAUACACAGUCAGCGACUAAGCGAAAGCGUUAAGUAAUCCACCUGGGGAGUACGAUCGCAAGGUUGAAACUCAAAGGAAUUGACGGGGGCCCCGCACAAGCGGUGGAGCAUGUGGUUUAAUUCGAUGAUACGCGAGGAACCUUACCAGGGCUUGAAAGUUAGUGACCGCCGCCGAAAGGUGGCUUCCCUUCGGGGCACAAAACUAGGUGCUGCAUGGCUGUCGU
rnacentral:rRNA from 1 species